rnacentral:rRNA from 1 species
CAGUGGGGAAUAUUGCACAAUGGGCGCAAGCCUGAUGCAGCCAUGCCGCGUGUAUGAAGAAGGCCUUCGGGUUGUAAAGUACUUUCAGCAGUGAGGAAGGUGGAUAUGUUAAUAGCAUAUUCAUUUGACGUUAGCUGCAGAAGAAGCACCGGCUAACUCCGUGCCAGCAGCCGCGGUAAUACGGAGGGUGCGAGCGUUAAUCGGAAUUACUGGGCGUAAAGCGCAUGCAGGUGGUUUGUUAAGUCAGAUGUGAAAGCCCGGGGCUCAACCUCGGAAUUGCAUUUGAAACUGGCAAACUAGAGUACUGUAGAGGGGGUAGAAUUUCAGGUGUAGCGGUGAAAUGCGUAGAGAUCUGAAGGAAUACCGGUGGCGAAGGCGGCCCCCUGGACAGAUACUGACACUCAGAUGCGAAAGCGUGGGGAGCAAACAGGAUUAGAUACCCUGGUAG